rnacentral:rRNA from 1 species
UACGGAGGGUGCGAGCGUUAAUCGGAAUUACUGGGCGUAAAGCGCACGUAGGCGGUCAGGCAAGUCGGGUGUGAAAGCCCUGGGCUCAACCUGGGAAUUGCAUUCGAAACUAUCUGACUCGAGUAUGGGAGAGGGAAGCGGAAUUUCCGGUGUAGCGGUGAAAUGCGUAGAUAUCGGAAGGAACACCAGUGGCGAAGGCGGCUUCCUGGAACUAAUACUGACGCUGAGGU